GGUGGUGGUAUGUGCUGCUGGGGGCUUUCCUAGGAGCUGUGUGGAUGACCCUGGCCCCUGCAUGGUGUCAGCUGGUCCUGACCUGUGCAUGCUGCUGGAUUUCUUGAUUGUUUGGGGUCUCCAGCCAGCGAAGCCCCUGGGAUGUGCUCCUCACCCCCAUACUCUCAGUGCAGAGGCUGAUGCAGUGCUCCCAGUGCCAAGGAAAUGACUGAGCAGAUUUUCUCUGGUUUCCAGCUGACCACAUGGCUCUGCUGAUGACAGGGACAGGCUACACAGUUUUGAGGUAAUGCAGCCCUGAUCAGCCCUGAAUCUACAUCAAAAAUUGGAGAUAGAUGCUGCAGGCACCAAAUCCUCACAUCUUCUGCUGAGACCUAAGGCUCUGCGUCACCUCCAGGGUUGGUGUGGAGUUAGACACCAACCAGCCCCACGCUUCGUGGGGAGGGAAGGGAAAUCCAGCUCCUGUGCUGCCCCUGGAGAGCAUCUCUUAAUCGAGGCCUGCACACAAAUGUGUGCUCACAUGCUCACAAAGGCAGUGCUUGCCUGUGGCUGCACGUUCACAGUGUGACAGGCCUUAUAAGCCUCAAGCAAUGUUAUCUGGAAGUGGGAAGUGAAUCAAAUCAGGCCCUCUGGUGCAGAGCUGCUUUGCCUCUCAGGCUGUGUAUGCUGCAGCAUGCUCCUGCUGUGGCUGCCUUCCCUGUGCUUCAGAACAGAACCACCUGUCCAUCUGCAGAUCACUUCAGCUUCUUACAACAUCCUGGAAUAUUUUCUGUCUCUCAGACUCUUCCUGAGCUCCUGCAGUGUCUCCACUGAGCAUCUGUGUGGAAGGAGAUGCACAAGGUCUGAGCAUCACUUACGUCUUUGGGAGAAGGGUUAUAUCAAAGUGGUGAUGCUGACAGGUUGUUCCUGGCUCCAUGGAGAAGAUGCAGCACCUUCACUGGUGCUCAGCUGGAGACAGGAGCAACCAGAAGAGAGCUACAAAGCACAAAUGGCCCAUACAUAGUCAAGGUGCUGCUGCGGUAAGGUCUUGUGGAUUCUCCUCUUUUGUAACCUUUAAAUACCAAAGUCAUAAAUAAAACCCAGCUGCAACUGAAUAACAUCUGGAUGAUGGUUUGCUCUGCCCUUGCUUUGGAUGGGUACAGCAGAAAUGGGGAGUAGCCAUGAGGUGGCUGCAGUGACUUGGUGUUUUGCAGCCCAGAUGCAGAAGCCCUGAGCUGACUGGUGUGCUCAGACCCACUCAUACAUAUUUUUAAAGGAAAAUCAGUAACUUGCGGAAGUGCUGCUUGGCUCAGUGACCCAGGGUUAUGGGGGCUGUAGAGUUUUGAGACCCUCAGCCAGACCUGUGGAGUCCUAAACCCCAGACUGGCCAGUGGGGAGACAAGAAGCUUUUGGAGCUCCUCAGCCCAUCCAAGCUGCGAAGCGGGGUUGUGAACCUUGUUGUUCUCUGCGAGAAUGUUGCUUUUACAAUUAAAACCCACGCAAAGCCCCGGCCCUUGCUACUGCUUGUGUUACCCCAGUGAGAUAUCUGACAUUUGAGACAGAAUGGGAAGUCAAAGAAUGCGAGGAAUUUGGUGACUCAACAUAGGGUUUAUUAUACCAGUCCUACCGUUUAAGCCCGUGUAAUGUAAGAUUGUUUUACGGCAUGUGGCACAGUUCUGUGGGUUAAUUUAUAAGCAAACAAUUAUUCAAAUCGGAAUUUUUUUCCAUGCCUACAUAAACUUGUUAUCUGUUUGGCAGCAGGGGAUGCUGCAAAGAAAUGCACAUUUACAU